rnacentral:ncRNA from 1 species
GGAAAUGCCGUGAAGGGGAAGAGUAUGCACAUCAAACCUUGCAGAGAGAGAACCAUUUGCUGAGAGGUUCUUAGGUCAUUGAAUGCGGAAUGUCACCCCAGAUGCAGCUUCUUUGAACAUUUCAAGUAGGAGAAGCCGGAAUACGCCCGUUAUGCGAAUGAAGUGUUUAGGUAGAAGAAGUAGCAUAUUUUACCUGAAAAUAAAGGUGGUACCGCGAAUCCUUUUCGUCCUUUUU